rnacentral:rRNA from 1 species
GUUUGAUCAUGGCUCAGAUUGAACGCUGGCGGCAUGCCUUACACAUGCAAGUCGAACGGCAGCGCGGGAGCAAUCCUGGUGGCGAGUGGCGAACGGGUGAGUAAUAUAUCGGAACGUGCCCAGUAGUGGGGGAUAACUGCUCGAAAGAGCAGCUAAUACCGCAUACGACCUGAGGGUGAAAGGGGGGGAUCGCAAGACCUCUCGCUAUUGGAGCGGCCGAUAUCAGAUUAGCUAGUUGGUGGGGUAAAGGCCUACCAAGGCAACGAUCUGUAGUUGGUCUGAGAGGACGACCAGCCACACUGGGACUGAGACACGGCCCAGACUCCUACGGGAGGCAGCAGUGGGGAAUUUUGGACAAUGGGCGAAAGCCUGAUCCAGCAAUGCCGCGUGCAGGAAGAAGGCCUUCGGGUUGUAAACUGCUUUUGUACGGAACGAAACGGUCUGCCCUAAUACGGUGGGCUAAUGACGGUACCGUAAGAAUAAGCACCGGCUAACUACGUG